CCCCGGCCCCGCACCUCGGGCCGCAUCCCGAGGGGCUGCCCGCCUAGUGCCAGGGCUCCCCGAAGGGAGGGAGAUUCUCCGCCGGGGAGGGGGUGUUGGAAGUGUCUGACUGCAUCACACGGGGGGGAGGGGUGCAAUAGCUUCUUCCAUGAGAGGAUUUAAAACCUGGCCUGAAGGAGAACCCCUAAAAAGAGACUCUUUCAUGCCAACCCCCAGAACAGGGGUGAGAAACUCAGGGAUGCGCUGUCUCUGCCCUCCCAACGCUUCCGGGAGUCAGCCGUCUGCACCAGCAUCAGCCAGGGCUAGGAACCGGGAGGAAGGAAGGAGGAGAGCGCGCGAUUUCCCAUGAGCGAUAACAGGGUUUCGCCCAGUGGAUGUGGGAGAUUGCUGCUUCAAAUCUUCCCUGCACCUGAGAGGAAGAAGGAAUUUGAACAGGGAUCUGCCACCUCUCAGGUCUUGUCUCGCCUAGAAGAAUUUCUGGUGCCUGGAGAACUACUGAAAUGACAACAUCAGGAGAGUGAAUGUUGAGCAAUUGAGAGGAAUGGAGAGGAAUUCUAACCAGACUGUUUGAAAUUCUGUGUCUUGUUUGUGUUUAACUUCAAUGACUCAACCCUAGAGAUUAAAAGACCUCAAUGUUAACGAUUCAACAUCCCACUCCUUCAAUUAAAUAUAGGAGGGAUUUACAACUUCUGGGACAAUAGGUCCUCCUACAAAAGGCAGGAAAGGGGGUACCAGGGAUGAUGUUCCCAGGGUUGUGGUUUUAUCCUGAAUGUCAUGAUAGUUGAU